GACGAACGCUGGCGGCGUGCUUAACACAUGCAAGUCGAACGGAAAGGCCCUGCUUUUGUGGGGUGCUCGAGUUGCGAACGGGUGAGUAACACGUGAGUUACCUGCCCUUGACUUUGGGAUAACUUCAGGAAACUGGGGCUAAUACCGGAUAGGAGCUCCUGCUGCAUGGUGGGGGUUGGAAAGUUUCGGCGGUUGGGGAUGGACUCGCGGCUUAUCAGCUUGUUGGUGGGGUAGUGGCUUACCAAGGCUUUGACGGGUAGCCGGCCUGAGCGGGUGACCGGCCAAAUUGGGACGGAGAUACGGCACAGCCUCCAACGGGAGGCAGGAGUGGGGAAGAUUGCACAAUGGGCGGAAGCCUGAUGUAGCAACGCCGCGUGCGGGAUGACGGCCUGCGGGUUGUAAACCGAUUUCGCCUGUGACGAAGCGUGAGUGACGGUAAUGGGUAAAGAAGCACCGGCUAACUACGUG
rnacentral:rRNA from 1 species